GCAUUUUGCUGGAGGUUAACGGGGGGCGGCGGAGAGGGGGCGGGCCUGAAAGGGCGACCGGCCACACUGGGACUGAGACACGGCCCAGACUCCUACGGGAGGCAGCAGUGGGGAAUAUUGCACAAUGGGCGCAAGCCUGAUGCAGCGACGCCGCGUGAGGGAUGACGGCCUUCGGGUUGUAAACCUCUUUCAGCAGGGAAGAAGCGCAAGUGACGGUACCUGCAGAAGAAGCGCCGGCUAACUACGUGCCAGCAGCCGCGGUAAUACGUAGGGCGCAAGCGUUGUCCGGAAUUAUUGGGCGUAAAGAGCUCGUAGGCGGCUUGUCGCGUCGGAUGUGAAAGCCCGGGGCUUAACCCCGGGUCUGCAUUCGAUACGGGCAGGCUAGAGUUCGGUAGGGGAGAUCGGAAUUCCUGGUGUAGCGGUGAAAUGCGCAGAUAUCAGGAGGAACACCGGUGGCGAAGGCGGAUCUCUGGGCCGAUACUGACGCUGAGGAGCGAAAGCGUGGGGAGCGAACAGGAUUAGAUACCCUGGUAGUCCACGCCGUAAACGUUGGGAACUAGGUGUGGGCGACAUUCCACGUCGUCCGUGCCGCAGCUAACGCAUUAAGUUCCCCGCCUGGGGGAGUACGGA
rnacentral:rRNA from 1 species